rnacentral:rRNA from 1 species
UACGUAGGGUGCGAGCGUUAUUCGGAAUUACUGGGCGUAAAGCGUGCGCAGGCGGUUUUGUAAGUCAGAUGUGAAAUCCCCGGGCUUAACCUGGGAACUGCAUUUGUGACUGCAUAGCUAGAGUACGGUAGAGGGGGAUGGAAUUCCGCGUGUAGCAGUGAAAUGCGUAGAUAUGCGGAGGAACACCGAUGGCGAAGGCAAUACCCUGGACCUGUACUGACGCUCAUGCACGAAAGCGUGGGGAGCAAACAGG